GUUGUCCACCUCUGGUGAAUGGCGCUGCGGGGGUUCUGGGCACCAUGGAGUCCUCCUCUCAGCUGUGAUGUUGUCAGCGCCACAACCUUCGAUGGGAGCAUUGGGGAUUUCUGGCUGGGCAAACUGAGCCACUAUGGACUAAAGUUGCUGGGAAACCUGGGAUGAGUCACUUCCCUUCUCUGGGAACCCUCAUUGGUAAAAUGAAAAGGUUGAACUAGGAAAUCCCACUGGGCCUGGAAGAAAUGUCAGUGUGGGAAGAUCUCUCUCAAGGCAUCACCAUAAAUCUUUUCCUGUUUUCCUCUUGAAAGACAAGAUUUGGAAAAGUCAGGUAACAUCUAGAGAAAGCCUCUAAUAGCCCUCUCCCUCUCCCUCUCCCUCUCCCUCUCCCUCGCCCUCUCCCCUUUCCACGGUCUCCCCUCUCCCUCUCUUUCCACGGUCUCCCUCUCACGCCGAGCCGAAGCUGGACUGUACUGCCGCCAUCUCGGCUCACUGCAGCCUCCCUGCCUGAUUCUCCUGCCUCAGCCUGCCGAGUGCCUGCGAUUGCAGGCGCGCGCCGCCACGCCUGACUGGUUUUCGUAUUUUUUUGGUGGAGACGGGGUUUCGCUGUGUUGGCCGGGCUGGUCUCCAGCUCCUAACCACGAGUGAUCCGCCAGCCUCGGCCUCCUGAGGUGCCGGGAUUGCAGACAGAGUCUCGU
rnacentral:lncRNA from 1 species